UACGUAGGGGGCAAGCGUUGCCCGGAUUUAUUGGGCGUAAAGAGCGUGUAGGCGGCUUUACAGGUCCGUUGUGAAAACUCGAGGCUCAACCUCGAGACGCCGGUGGAAACCGUAAAGCUAGAGUCCGGAAGAGGAGAGUGGAAUUCCUGGUGUAGCGGUGAAAUGCGCAGAUAUCAGGAGGAACACCCGUGGCGAAAGCGGCUCUCUGGGACGGUACUGACGCUGAGACGCGAAAGCGUGGGGAGCAAACAGG
rnacentral:rRNA from 1 species